UCCGGUUUGUCACCGGCAGUCUCAUUAGAGUGCCCUUUCGUAGCAACUAAUGACAAGGGUUGCGCUCGUUGCGGGACUUAACCCAACAUCUCACGACACGAGCUGACGACAGCCAUGCAGCACCUGUGCGCCGGUUCUCUUUCGAGCACUCCCGCAUCUCUGCAGGAUUCCGACCAUGUCAAGGGUAGGUAAGGUUUUUCGCGUUGCGUCGAAUUAAACCACAUGCUCCACCGCUUGUGCGGGCCCCCGUCAAUUCCUUUGAGUUUCAACCUUGCGGCCGUAGUCCCCAGGCGGUUCACUUAAUGCGUUAGCUGCGGCACCGAGGGUUACCCCCCAACACCUAGUGAACAUAGUUUAGGGCCAAGACUA
rnacentral:misc_RNA from 1 species